GAUUUGCCUCAUUGGUAAUUUCAUCUUUCAAAAGGUAAAAGAACUAACGUCUAUUCUCCAUGUGACUCUUAUCAACAAGGAAGAGUUGGCUGUUGAAGAAGUGAUUGGAGCAUUAUGAGGAACUACUAUAACUUAAGAUAUGGAAUAUAGAAGGAGAGGGAAACAGGGCAUACUAGAUGUCUGGCUCUGAGUAGCUAAGAUUUCUUUCACCAUUUCCUCUAUGUCUGACUAUCAUUACUAAUUGAACCUUAUUGAUUCAAGAUGUUGAAAGUACUAUCUGUUGGCUGUCUUGUGAGAGUCCUGAAGAAAGAUAGGAUUUCUUGAAGGAUAAAUGUUGAUACCAUGAAAAGGUCAAGUCUGAAAUAACAUUUUCAAAGAAAACAUCCAGUCAUUCAUGGGUGA